CGGCUCAGUGACUGAGUUGCAACACUAUUACGGUGAAUUUGGCCUGCGAGUCCGAUUUGUAUAUACAUUUAGUGUAUGACUAACGGGUUAAUGACUUGUUUGGAAACUGCAAAUCAAAACAGAAACAAUAAAAUCGUGUGUUUUUUUAUGAAGUUUGAAAGAAAAAUGGUCUUAUAUUGUUGCGUUGGUUACUGCAAACGCAACUCUAGAGACGACAAGGAAUAUUCAUUUUUUGGGCCACCAAAUGAUCCGGAAAUUUGAAACAAAUGCCCACUCCCGAACCGAAGAUUUCAUGAAUUGAAGCCAAGAAUACAUAAAAAAAUGUUAUCCAGCAUGGAGGAAACGGAUCUGCAAGUGAAAAACCAAAAGUAAAACUGAUCCGAAAUUCGCGUAUACUCUGCUACUGAUUGCGUUCGCUUUAACACUUUUUGAGAACGUGCAUCGCGCAAAGUGGACCCAAUUUUCUGUGGGAGUCAAUGGAGAGCUAAAAAUAAGUUCUAGUAUCUGCUUCGAUCAUUUUGACAAAAAGUGCAUUUUAAAGACAUAACCGAGAGUGCUGCUGCUUAAAAAUUCGAAUCCAACAAUCCUAGAAAGAAAAAGAAGUGCCGCAAAGCCUGCAGAAGUACUGCUUCAUUCUUGCGAAUGUUUCUGCGAGUCAGAUGUCACUGGGGGGCACGAUUUAGAAGGCGUAAGCUACAAGAAAAUAAAAGCGCAACUAAAAGUACAAAUUCUUCUGUCAGUAAUAUUUCUCUUAACAAAGACAAGAUAAAAAUGAAGAGAUUUACAGGCAAAAGGAAUUAGAAUUGCUCGUAUAAGUCGAAAAAGCUAGAAUUAAUAGAAUUAAUUUAUAGGAUUGAUUUAUUGGACAAGUAUUACGU